UGAUUGAUGGUGCUUGCACCUGAUUGAUUUUGGUCGCCAACGAGUGGCGGACGGGUGAGUAACACGUAGGUAACCUGCCCAGAAGCGGGGGACAACAUUUGGAAACAGAUGCUAAUACCGCAUAACAGCGUUGUUCGCAUGAACAACGCUUAAAAGAUGGCUUCUCGCUAUCACUUCUGGAUGGACCUGCGGUGCAUUAGCUUGUUGGUGGGGUAACGGCCUACCAAGGCGAUGAUGCAUAGCCGAGUUGAGAGACUGAUCGGCCACAAUGGGACUGAGACACGGCCCAUACUCCUACGGGAGGCAGCAGUAGGGAAUCUUCCACAAUGGGCGCAAGCCUGAUGGAGCAACACCGCGUGAGUGAAGAAGGGUUUCGGCUCGUAAAGCUCUGUUGUUAAAGAAGAACACGUAUGAGAGUAACUGUUCAUACGUUGACGGUAUUUAACCAGAAAGUCACGGCUAACUACGUGCCAGCAGCCGCGGUAAUACGUAGGUGGCAAGCGUUAUCCGGAUUUAUUGGGCGUAAAGAGAGUGCAGGCGGUUUUCUAAGUCUGAUGUGAAAGCCUUCGGCUUAACCGGAGAAGUGCAUCGGAAACUGGAUAACUUGAGUGCAGAAGAGGGUAGUGGAACUCCAUGUGUAGCGGUGGAAUGCGUAGAUAUAUGGAAGAACACCAGUGGCGAAGGCGGCUACCUGGUCUGCAACUGACGCUGAGACUCGAAAGCAUGGGUAGCGAACAGGAUUAGAUACCCUGGUAGUCCAUGCCGUAAACGAUGAGUGCUAGGUGUUGGAGGGUUUCCGCCCUUCAGUGCCGGAGCUAACGCAUUAAGCACUCCGCCUGGGGAGUACGACCGCAAGGUUGAAACUCAAAGGAAUUGACGGGGGCCCGCACAAGCGGUGGAGCAUGUGGUUUAAUUCGAAGCUACGCGAAGAACCUUACCAGGUCUUGACAUCUUGCGCCAACCCUAGAGAUAGGGCGUUUCCUUCGGGAACGCAAUGACAGGUGGUGCAUGGUCGUCGUCAGCUCGUGUCGUGAGAUGUUGGGUUAAGUCCCGCAACGAGCGCAACCCUUGUUACUAGUUGCCAGCAUUAAGUUGGGCACUCUAGUGAGACUGCCGGUGACAAACCGGAGGAAGGUGGGGACGACGUCAGAUCAUCAUGCCCCUUAUGACCUGGGCUACACACGUGCUACAAUGGACGGUACAACGAGUCGCGAACUCGCGAGGGCAAGCAAAUCUCUUAAAACCGUUCUCAGUUCGGACUGCAGGCUGCAACUCGCCUGCACGAAGUCGGAAUCGCUAGUAAUCGCGGAUCAGCAUGCCGCGGUGAAUACGUUCCCGGGCCUUGUACACACCGCCCGUCACACCAUGAGAGUUUGUAACACCCAAAGUCGGUGGGGUAACCUUUUAGGAGCCAGCCGCCUAAGGUGA
rnacentral:rRNA from 2 species